rnacentral:rRNA from 1 species
AGUGAACGCUGGCGGUAGGCCUACACAUGCAAGUCGAACGGCAGCACAGUAAGAGCUUGCUCUUACGGGUGGCGAGUGGCGGACGGGUGAGGAAUACAUCGGAAUCUACUUUUUCGUGGGGGGUAACGUAGGGAAACUUACGCUAAUACCGCAUACGACCUACGGGUGAAAGCAGGGGAUCUUCGGACCUUGCGCGAUUGAAUGAGCCGAUGUCGGAUUAGCUAGUUGGCGGGGUAAAGGCCCGCCAAGGCGACGAUCCGUAGCUGGUCUGAGAGGAUGAUCAGCCACACUGGAACUGAGACACGGUCCAGACUCCUACGGGAGGCAGCAGUGGGGAAUAUUGGACAAUGGGCGCAAGCCUGAUCCAGCCAUACCGCGUGGGUGAAGAAGGCCUUCGGGUUGUAAAGCCCUUUUGUUGGGAAAGAAAAGCAGCAGGUUAAUACCCCGCUGUUCUGACGGUACCCAAAGAAUAAGCACCGGCUAACUUCGUG